AUGUUGACACAAGCUGCUGUAAGGCUUGUUAGGGGGUCCCUGCACAAAACCUCCUGGGUAGAGUUGGGUCGCAGGGAACUGCGACUGGGUCAACUUGCUCCUUUCACAGCGCCUCACAAGGACAAGCCAUUUUCUGAUCAAAGAAGUGAGCUGAAGAGACGCCUGAAAGCCAAUAAGAAAGUAGCAGAGAAGGAAGCCAAGCGGAAAGAGCUCAGUGAGAAACAGCUAAGCCAAGCCACCACUGCUGCCACCAAGCACACCACUGACAAUGGUGUGGGUCCUGAGGAAGAGAUCCUGGACCCAGAUCAAUACAACAAAAUUCACCGUCAAGCAAUUCAUCAACGGAAGGUCAAUGGGGAAGAUCCAUCCCCACACAAGUUCCAUGUAGACACCUCACUGACUUCAUCCCAGAAUAUCGUCACCUACAGCCUGGGGAUCACCUGACUGACAUCACCUUAAAGGUGGCAGGUAGGAUCCAUACCUAAAGAGCUUCUGGAGGAAAGCUCAUCUUCUAUGAGAGGGGGUGAAAUUGCAAGUCAUGGCCAAUUCCAGAAAUUAUAAAUCAGAAGAAGAAUUUAUUCAUAUUAAUAACAAACUGUGUCAGGGAGACAUAACUGGAGUUCAGGGAGUCCUGGGAAAACCAAGAAAGGUGAGCUGAGCAUCAUUCCGCAUGAGAUCACACUGCUGUCUCCCUGUUUGCAGAUGUUACCACAUCUUCACUUUGGCCUCAGAGAUAAGGAAACAAGGUAUCACCAGAGAUAUGUGGACUUGAUCCUGAAUAUUUUGUGAGGCAGAAAUGUAUCAUCUACUCUAAGAGCAUCACAUAUAUAAGAAGUUUCUUGGAUGAGCUGGGAUUCCUAGAGAUUGAAACUCCCAUGAUGAACAUCAUCCCAGAGGGAGUUGUGGCCCAGCCUUUCAUCACUUAUCACAACAAACUGGACAUGAAUUUAUAUAUGAGAAUUGCUCCAGAACUCUACCAUGCUUGUGGUUGGUGGCAUCGACCAGGUUUAUGAAAUUGGACGCCAGUUCCGGAAUGAGGGGAUUGAUUGAUUUGACACACAAUCCUGAGUUCACCACCUGUGAGUUCUACAUGGCCUAUGCAGACUAUCACGAUCUCAUGGAAGUCAUGGAGAAGAUGGUUUCAGGGAUGGUGAAGCAUAUUACAGGCAGUUACAAGGCCACCUACCCCCAGGUGGCUCAGAGGGCCAAGUCUAUGAUAUUGACUUCACCCCAUCCUUCUGGAGAAUCAACAUGUUCAUAGAUGAAAACUUCCGUACUGCCCUGGAAUACGGGCUGCCCCCCCACAGCUGGCUGGGACAUGGGCAUUGACCAAGUCGCCAUGUUUCUCACGGGCUCCAGCAACAUCAAGGAAGUACUUCUGUUUCCUGCCAUGAAACCCGAAGACAAGAAGGAGAAUGUAGCAACCACUGAUAUGCUGGAAAGCACAACAGUUGGCACUUCUGUCUAGAAAAUAAUAAUUGCAAGUUGUAUAA